UACGUAGGGUGCGAGCGCUGUCCGGAAUUAUUGGGCGUAAAGGGCUCGUAGGCGGUUUGUCGCGUCGGCUGUGAAAACUCGGGGCUCAACCCCGAGCCUGCAGUCGAUACGGGCGGACUAGAGUGCUGUAGGGGAGACUGGAAUUCCUGGUGUAGCGGUGAAAUGCGCAGAUAUCAGGAGGAACACCGGUGGCGAAGGCGGGUCUCUGGGCAGUAACUGACGCUGAGGAGCGAAAGCGUGGGGAGCGAACAGG
rnacentral:rRNA from 1 species